rnacentral:lncRNA from 1 species
AUUACUUUUAAAAGAUGUUCUUCAAAAUUUCAAUUAUAUUUAAUGAAGUUUUUAGAAGUCUUCCUCAAUCCAAAUUAUUUAAGAUUUUAUAUUCUAAUUGCAUAUUAACAAAUUAAAAGAACAGAAAUAGCAAUAGCUUCUAAAUUAAAACAAUAAGUAGCAUACAUAUUUUGAAAGUACACUGUUUCUUUAGAAUACUUUACUCCUUUACUUAUUAACUUGAUUUUAUAGGAUACUAAUAGGAACCUAUCCUAUGAUACAAGAAAAUAAAUAGGAAGAGGAGGACUCCACUCACUCACAGGAAAAAUCAAUGUUUCACAACAAACUUGCUGAUGCCACAAAUUUGGAAUUAGUAAUAAUUCAAAGACCAUUGAAUGCAUUUAAGAAGUUUUCUGAUGUGAUGAAUGACUAAUAGGAAUAAGAGUACUGGAAAAUACUUAAACAUCUUUAGAGAACACACUUUUAUGUUAAAAACAUUGUUUAAUAUAAACAACUGGUUUGUUAACUACACAGCACUUAUUAAUUCAAGCUGCAUCUAUCAAGCAAUAUUUUUUGAUUUGAUACGCUGCGUUGUCAAAAUUAAUUAACUGCAUCUCACUGAAAAACUUCGAUGGUAUUCACGUCCAACUAAUUCAUGUUAAUUUUCUUUUUUUUUUUUUGGCUUUUUUUGUUGUUGUUGUUGUUGCUAUUUCUUGGGCCGCUCCCGCGGCAUAUGGAGGUUCCCAGGCUAGGGUGUGGCCCUAAAAAGAAAAAAAAGAAAGAAAGAAAAAUUUUCAAGAGCUAUCAAAAGAAGGAAAAAAACAAAAGGAAAGAGAAUGAGGGAGGCAGGAAGAAGGACAGGAAAGGGAGCCUGAAAACGGGUAUCAAAAACAAACUACAAAUUAGAAGGAGGCAGGAAGAAGGACAGGAAAGGGAGCCUGAAAACAGGUAUCAAAAACAAACUACAAAUUAGAACAGUUUUUUAAAAAUCAUGUCAAGAAUGUACAUAUAUAUGCAUGACUGGGUCACUUUGCUGUACAGUGGAAAUUGACAGAACACUGUAAAUCAACUAUAAUAGAAAAAAUAAAUAUCCUUUAAAAAAUCUCAAAUUAUUUUCAUCAAAGUACCAAAAAUUAACAACUCUCUCUUCAUCAAGAGUAAAACCACCAUGGAUGUUUCAAAUGGGAAGAAAAACAUUACAAAGCUGCUCAAAAGCCUAUUAUUAUUAUUCUUGAAUUGUCUCAUCUAAACUCCUCUUGCCUAGAUUGUGGCCAGAAUUCUGAGAACCAAGUCAGAGAAGGGUGGGUGGGGUGGAAGGAACGAUUUCUCAACAUUCCAUAUACAUAUAUCUACUUAAUCUAUUUUCAAUUUCCUCAACUCCUAAUCUUCCUCAGCAAGAGAUCCUUGUUUUAGUCUUUCCCACCAUAUGCCAGUGUCAUGAAAUAAGUAAAAAUCUUCACUAGUUUUCAAUUAAUCCUAUUCCAUCCCCACACAGACCAGUAACACUCAGUUCCAGAGGUAUCUAGAGCCGUAUCCUAGCCUUCUCAAGAUCCUGAAAAUUUAGAUUGUAUUAAUUUCUUGGCUUUCUCCCUUGUUGACUCAGGAGUUGACAUUCUCUUAUCAGUUAUCACUGUGUGGUGUUCAAUCCAGAGUUACCUGGGGGUCUCAGAG